UUUUGGACAAUGGGCGAAAGCCUGAUCCAGCAAUGCCGCGUGUGUGAAGAAGGUCUUCGGAUUGUAAAGCACUUUCGACAGGGACGAUGAUGACGGUACCUGUAGAAGAAGCCCCGGCUAACUUCGUGCCAGCAGCCGCGGUAAUACGAAGGGGGCUAGCGUUGCUCGGAAUGACUGGGCGUAAAGGGCGCGUAGGCGGAUGGUACAGUCAGAUGUGAAAUUCCUGGGCUUAACCUAGGGACUGCAUUUGAUACGUAUGAUCUAGAGUGAGGAAGAGGGUCGUGGAAUUCCCAGUGUAGAGGUGAAAUUCGUAGAUAUUGGGAAGAACUCCGAUGGCGAAGGCGGCGACCUGGUCCUUUACUGACGCUGAGGCGCGAAG
rnacentral:rRNA from 1 species